AAAGAAAUGACAAAUUAGAAGAAAAUUCAAUCCAAAAGAUUCGCAAAUAGAUAAAUAAAAUUUUUAAACGCUUAUUACUUACAUAUUCGACUUGUGUGACUUCCAAUCACUUCCACUCCUUUCCAACCUUCGUUACCUCCGCUCACUGUGACGUGAUGAGGCUGCAGCGCAGUGUACCACUUGCAAUUUUGAUUAUUUAUCUGUACAAAAACCAUCAACAAGGCGCAGCAGGGCGCUAUUCCUGGUGUGUGGUGUGUGCCGCUGAUGGCGGCAAAGGUCAGGCAGGAAGAUAAAAUAAAACCUCAUCCGGUGGACGAUAUGAUAAAGAUAACCAUGAUGAUAACGAGAACGGAGCAACUAGUGGUUAAUGGACCUUUAGUCGAUCUAAAUGCAUGCUCGGAUGUGCUUGAUACUUCAGACAGAUGGACUUUAAUAUGAUUGCUCUUGAGUCUUUUAAUAUGUCCCACCGCCCAAAUCAGUGCUCGGAGAUCGUAUGGACAGAAUCAGCAGAUCUAAUGCCAGGUGAUUGGGAUGAGCAGCACAGCAAUGUGGCUAGUUUUCUUGCAACAUACACCCAAAGUCCAGCCAAACAGUCAAAUGAAAUCAUCAUUAAUGUCAGCAUCCAUAGCCAAGACACUUAGUAAUGUCUUCAGUAAUCUUAAGGAUUACAGCUGUAACUUGUAUAUAGGAAACAGCAGGUGGCCACUUGUAAUUAUUUUGCCAAGAAAAUGAACUUUGUCAGCUAUCCACGGUUCAUUCGCCCGCCGUUAAAGAAACGUGGUCGCCCACCAAAUAAUGAUGGUAUUCGUGCAGCAGGUACUAGUGGCUGGUGGUCCUGGUCUGGUGGUCCAGCUUUGGUAGCCAAUCUGGAAGUCUGUGAUCCACGAAGUGGUUCCACUUUACCUGUUGUUGGCCAAUUGGCUUUAUAGCAUUUGGCACCCUUCCACGUAUUUUUGAGUACAUGGAGAAAGAUAAUCGUUGCUGUGGUUAAUGUACAAGUAGAAGGUGGCCAACAUUUUGCGGGAAAUGCUACUGAAGACGACAAGAGCCGAUGGGUCCCAAUAUGUAAGGUCUUCUAAUGGAUUGGCCUGUUCAAAAACCAAAUGCCAAGGCUCACUGUCAGCAGGUCACUUUUGGAACAUUUGGAACAAAUAUUUAAUUUCUUGUGCUUUGGGCUGGUGUUUUGUACGCACCCAUGCAAAAGAAGUUUUCUCUAUUACGCUGAUGGACGACGACGAAACUCUAACCAUUUGGUCUACAGUUCUUUAUACUUGGCUGGGAACCCUUAUUAACGAAUUCAUUGGGAGCUAUAAAUAUAUACUACCCGAUAUUAUUAACUGCUUUUACAUAUUAAUAUAAACAAAAAAUACUGAAACCAUUAAUUUGAUAUACAAAAAAAUUAUAAAACAUACAAAUAACUCUCCUUGAACAGACCAACAUUUAAACAAAGUUAAACUUAUACUUUGCGCUGUUAUUAUGUAGCUCUGUAUGUAUUUUUCUUUAAUUUCUGAUUUUAAGCUUAUACAAAUACUUAUAUAUUUAAUUGCUGGUAAAAAAAAAGGUAUAUUAUGACGAUGUGUUCAUACAAAUUUAAACUCCCUACAAAACAAAUGCCUUAACUCUUAAUUAUUACUUUUAAGUUUUCUCUAAUUCUUAAAAUAUGGAAAGAUCAAAAGGAAACACUUUAGGUACAUAUAAUAAACAUACAUAUAUAAUGAAAAAGCAGACAAUACUAUAAGGAUUAUAAAGAUGAGGAAAUGCGGUUAGGGAGAAAAUGCCCACCAAGCCCCAAACCCCAAAUCUCUAAACACCGCCCCCGGCCAUGGCUUAUGAAAUUUUCAAUUAGCAAAAGUCGAAAGCUUAAGAUUAACGCACACCUCAAUUGUUUUUUUUUCUGUUUUUUUAUACUUUUUUUGUUUUGCCAUAAGCUGUAUGAAAACAUCAAAUAAAAUGCUUAUAAUAAUUAAUAAAUGGUAUUGAAACAUAA